ensembl:lncRNA
CAGGUUCACAGGGGUCAUAUGAAUUAUUACCUGAGGUCUCUGCUCUUUAAAUGAUCGAUUUGUUCCUGUUUUUUUACUCAGAGUAAAUCUUACAUCUACAAUUAAACUAAACCGGAGCAAGCGAAACUUUAGGCAAAAAUGAAGGAUGUCCUCAGUGUCACAUCUGCUCCUGCCUCAAGUGGACAGAACAUCACAAUCUCCAAAAGAGAGUUGGAAAUGUUGAUAGAACAGGAGGUCGGGAGUGUGAUGAAGAAGAAGGAGAACAGUCUGGACGCACUGAUAGAAAAUAUUCAGCAACAACUGGAUCAGUGGAGGAACCAUGAGGUCUCAAUCAAAACACUGCAGACCCACAUGAUGACCGUAUCUAACAGGGCAGAAGAAGCUCUUGCAUAUAUCGCAAAGAAUCCAACACCACCUGCUGCUGAUACCAAUGGAGACCAGUCUCAUUUGGGCAGCACUGACACGGAGUCACAACACGUCUCCAGUGUCUCAAAGUUGAUGGAAAGGACAAAGAAAGAAUUUGAGCGCCUCCAUGCAGAAAAUACAGCUUUUAAAGCGGCCUUGGAAGAUGUACAACAAAGGCAGACUUCAUCUCCUAAAACAACCAUCC